rnacentral:rRNA from 1 species
UACGUAGGGUGCGAGCGUUGUCCGGAAUUAUUGGGCGUAAAGAGCUUGUAGGCGGUCUGUCGCGUCUGCUGUGAAAUCCGGGGCUCAACCCCGGACUUGCAGUGGGUACGGGCAGACUAGAGUGUGGUAGGGGAGACUGGAAUUCCUGGUGUAGCGGUGAAAUGCGUAGAUAUCAGGAGGAACACCGAUGGCGAAGGCAGGUCU